rnacentral:rRNA from 1 species
UACAGAGGGUGCGAGCGUUAAUCGGAAUUACUGGGCGUAAAGCGCACGUAGGUGGCGACGUAAGUCGGGUGUGAAAGCCCCGGGCUCAACCUGGGAAUUGCAUUCGAGACUGCAUUGCUGGAGUACGGAAGAGGAAGGCGGAAUUCCCGGUGUAGCGGUGAAAUGCGUAGAGAUCGGGAGGAACAUCAGUGGCGAAGGCGGCCCUCUGGACCAGCACUGACGCUGAGGCACGAAAGCGUGGGGAGCAAACAGG